rnacentral:pre_miRNA from 1 species
UACAAUGUUUGGCUCUUCGUCUUAUUUAAAAUUUUCUAUGAUUACUAUUACUAUUAUUAUUAUUAGAUGAUAAAAUAUGAACAAUACUUUAUGUGUAACUAAUUUUUUUAAAAAAAAUUAAAUAAGACGGACCAUCAAACGUUGGACACAGAAACGCA